rnacentral:SRP_RNA from 1 species
GUUUGAAGAUUUCGGUGCUAUGCAAUAUGAACCCAUGAACCAUGUCAGGUCCUGACGGAAGCAGCAUUAAGUGGAUCAUCAUAUGUGCCGUAGGGUAGCCGAGAUUUAGCUAACGACUUUGGUUACGUUCGUGAAUUACGUUCGAUGCUUAGGUGCACGG